AGAUGUGGAAUUUCGUGCAGCUGCAACAAGUCAGCUUUUGUUGAGAAGGAUCAGACAGGGCUGACAAUGCUCGAUUCAUGUUAAGCAGAGCACAGAUCCCACAACAAGCUCAAAUCAUCGGAGGCCCAGUGUCACACUGAAAGAUGGAAAGAAGAAGGUGAAAAAUGUACUCAGAGAAAUACUGCUGCACAAUACCCCAAAUCUAUUACGAGACAUAAACCUACAGGAUAAACUCAAUUAAAUUAUCCAAGGCACAUAAUUAAGCUUCUGAAAAGUAAAGAUGAACAUCUUGAAAGCAGCCAGAGUAAAAAUGAUGCUUUUUUCAUAGAGAAAACAAUUAGAAUGACUAUUGAUUUCUCAUCAGCAACUAUGGAAGCCAGAAGGAAGUGACAAAAUAUUUUUCAGAUGCGGAAAACAACUAUCGACAAGAAUCCUGUAUCCAGUGAAAACAUUCUUCGGGAAUGAAGGGGAAAAUGUGACAGUCUUAACUGAAGAGAAACUAUGAGAAUUUGUCACAUACAGACUUAAUCUAAAAGAAUGGCUAAAGGAAGUUUUCUACACAGAAAUACACCCUGAAAGAAGAAACAGCAGGACAUCAAGAAGAAACAAGUACAUAGUAAGCAAUAAUGUAGUUAAUACAACUGGCUUUCCUUCUUAGGUUUUAAAAAUUAUGUCAGACAGUUGAAGGAAAAAUUAUGUGUAUCUAAAUGUAUGUAGAGAAAAAUAUUUAAGAUAAUUAUAUUAUAAAAUGGGGUGUUGUAAGGGAACAAAGAGGAAGAUAAGGUUUCUAUACUUCACUUAAACUGGUAAAAUGAUAGCAGCAGAUUGUGAUAAGCUUUGAAUAUACAAUGUAACACCCAAGAGUGACUACUACAAAAGCUUUGCAAAGAGAUACAUUCGAAAACACUAUAGAUAAACCAAAAUGGAAAUCUAAAUAUUGUUCAAGUAAUCCACAGGAAGAAAAGUAAAAGAAAACAGAAAUUUAAAACAGAGUAUAAACAUAAAAUAAAAAUAAAAUGUCAGACUUAAACCAUAA
rnacentral:lncRNA from 1 species